rnacentral:misc_RNA from 1 species
UGUCCCUUUGUUCUGCUUUUCUGGGACCCACGUAAAAUGCAAAUGCCAACAGUUAAUAUUUUUUCUACUUCUUCACAAGAAUCAACAGAUUUGCAGGUUUGCAAAAGACUCAUGACAUGUGGAACCAAAUCUUUCUUUGCAUCACAACGGCGGCAGUAAUACUCAACAUCUAGGCCAAUGCUUCCACCAACUGUCCCAGCCAUGUAUGUCCGAAGAGCGCAAUCAAUGUGAGCAACAUGGCCACACAUAUAACCCUCACUGACAAAAGCCUCACAUUUUAUGUAACUGUAGCCUCCAUACUUUGCAUUUAUGGUCUUGCAACACAAAAUACAACAACAAUCACGGCAGAAAUGAGGUUCACUGCAACAAAUGUCACAAGGCAUGGCAGCUAUAGAUAGAUUUUCUACUUGUACCAUGAGACUAUUGCACCUCUUAUUUCCAGCCUUACAUCUUGCACCAUCAGACUGGGAAUCAGACUCAGAAUUUUCAGCCGUUUCUUCAAAAGGUAAACAAGUUUGCCCCUCUAAAUUACCAUUUGUUGGCGCCAUCUUUGAAGGUAUCCUCCAGCUGAAUGAAGCAAAAAACUCUUCAACAUUUGCAUCAGGGAAUUUUGAUCGGAUAUAGCGUUCAACUGAAAGCUUGCUUGCAAAUCCACGUUUCUUACCUGGCGUAUUCUCAAGACGACCAAGACGGCGUGGAAGGUACAAGUACCUAUCCAAGAAAUGGCCAUUAAAGGCAACUCGUCUUCCUACUCUCCAACUCCAAAUGUCACCAGGUUUUGGCCAAUCCACAGGAGCAUAUGGCAAACCUUCACCAGACUCCUCAGGUGCAACUGGCCUUAGAUGGGAACCAU